CGGGAGUAACGCGUGGGGAACCGUGCCCUAUACAGGGGGAUAACAGCUGGAAACGGCUGCUAAUACCGCAUAAGCGCACAGAAUCGCAUGAUUCGGUGUGAAAAGCUCCGGCAGUAUAGGAUGGUCCCGCGUCUGAUUAGCUAGUUGGCAGGGUAACGGCCUACCAAGGCGACGAUCAGUAGCCGGCUUGAGAGAGUGGACGGCCACAUUGGGACUGAGACACGGCCCAA
rnacentral:rRNA from 1 species